CUUGAUGAACUGCCUUGAAGAUCAUUCUUCUUGAUACUUGAUGCCUUCUCAUGAUGGACUUGCUAAGAUGACUGUAAGUUCUUCUCUUUGGUACUUAAAGUCUUCCCAUGAUGGACAUCAAGAUGACAUGAUGCUCUCUUUUUCUCGGCAGUUCAGAACACUCUUCUUGUAGUAGAACUCUCACUUCUACAUUGUAGAACUCUCACUUCUACUUCUUUCUUUGUCUGUCUCUAAGUGUUCUUAGUGGAUCGUAGAGUGAGCCUUUAGACCUUCAUUGGUCACUCACUAUUUACGUUGGUUAGAUCAGUCCACCAAUUCUCCAAACUUAGCAACUCUAGCAACCUUUGAUCUUUGAAGCUCUAGUCGAUUUAUACUCCUUUCCAAUCUUUCCGUUGGAACGUAGCCGUUGAAAGCUCUUUGAAUUGCUUCACAGAUCUCGAGUUGUUUGGUGCAGACUGCAGAUGUGACAUGACAUGACUUUCUAACACUGCAGUCUACUGUUUCACCUACCCCAUCAGAGAUGUCACUUUUAUGCCUCAGGCAGGUCGACGACUUUAUUUCCCCCUUUUGAUUUUUUGAUCAGAGGUUGUCCUUUUGCAUCGAUGCUCUUAAUAAGCUCUUGUCCGAAUAUCAACCUUCAGAUUGAACCGUUGCCAAUGCUUCAAUCUUCAGCUGUUCGAACUCUACGAUUCUG
rnacentral:lncRNA from 1 species